UACGUAGGUGGCAAGCGUUGUCCGGAUUUACUGGGCGUAAAGAGCGCGCAGGCGGUCGUUCAAGUCGCGUGUGAAAGCCCCCGGCUCAACUGGGGAGGGUCACGCGAUACUGAUCGACUCGAAGGCAGGAGAGGGUACUGGAAUUCUCGGUGUAGCGGUGAAAUGCGUAGAUAUCGAGAGGAACACCUGCGGCGAAGGCGGGUUGCUGGGCUGACACUGACGCUGAUGCGCGAAAGCCAGGGGAGCGAACGGG
rnacentral:rRNA from 1 species